AACGAACGCUGGCGGCAGGCCUAACACAUGCAAGUCGAGCGGACAUCUUCGGAUGUUAGCGGCGGACGGGUGAGUAACGCGUGGGGACGUGCCCUUUGCUUCGGAAUAGCCUCGGGAAACUGGGAGUAAUACCGGAUGUACCCUUUGGGGGAAAGAUUUAUCGGCAAAGGAUCGGCCCGCGUUGGAUUAGGUAGUUGGUGGGGUAAUGGCCUACCAAGCCGACGAUCCAUAGCUGGUUUGAGAGGAUGAUCAGCCACACUGGGACUGAGACACGGCCCAGACUCCUACGGGAGGCAGCAGUGGGGAAUCUUAGACAAUGGGGGAAACCCUGAUCUAGCCAUGCCGCGUGAGCGAUGAAGGCCUUAGGGUUGUAAAGCUCUUUCACCGGGGAAGAUAAUGACGGUACCCGGAGAAGAAGCCCCGGCUAACUCCGUG
rnacentral:rRNA from 1 species